UACGUAGGGUGCAAGCGUUGUCCGGAAUUAUUGGGCGUAAAGAGCUUGUAGGCGGUUUGUCGCGUCUGCUGUGAAAUUUCGGGGCUCAACCCCGAACUUGCAGUGGGUACGGGCAGACUAGAGUGUGGUAGGGGAGACUGGAAUUCCUGGUGUAGCGGUGAAAUGCGCAGAUAUCAGGAGGAACACCGAUGGCGAAGGCAGGUCUCUGGGCCAUAACUGACGCUGAGGCACGAAGGCCAGGGGAGCAAACGGG
rnacentral:rRNA from 1 species